rnacentral:tRNA from 1 species
GCCGGCGUGGUGAAAUUGGCAGACACAACAGACUCAAAAUCUGUCGGCAGCGAUGCCGUAUCGGUUCGAGCCCGAUCGCCGGUA